rnacentral:rRNA from 1 species
UGGGGAAUUUUGGACAAUGGGCGAAAGCCUGAUCCAGCAAUGCCGCGUGUGUGAAGAAGGCCUUCGGGUUGUAAAGCACUUUUGUCCGGAAAGAAAUCCUUGGCUCUAAUACAGUCGGGGGAUGACGGUACCGGAAGAAUAAGCACCGGCUAACUACGUGCCAGCAGCCGCGGUAAUACGUAGGGUGCAAGCGUUAAUCGGAAUUACUGGGCGUAAAGCGUGCGCAGGCGGUUUGCUAAGACCGAUGUGAAAUCCCCGGGCUCAACCUGGGAACUGCAUUGGUGACUGGCAGGCUAGAGUAUGGCAGAGGGGGGUAGAAUUCCACGUGUAGCAGUGAAAUGCGUAGAGAUGUGGAGGAAUACCGAUGGCGAAGGCAGCCCCCUGGGCCAAUACUGACGCUCAUGCACGAAAGCGUGGGGAGCAAACAGGAUUAGAUACCCUGGUAGUCCACGCCCUAAACGAUGUCAACUAGUUGUUGGGGAUUCAUUUCCUUAGUAACGUAGCUAACGCGUGAAGUUGACCGCCUGGGGGAGUACGGUCGCAAGAUUAAAACUUAAAGGAAUUGACGGGGUCAUAGCUGUUUCCU